GGCGUGAGCCAUCAUACUUCUAUUAUUAAUCCUAGGAAUGCCCUGGCAUCAGCAUUCAUAACUCGGGCUGUUAGGUGUCCCUACUCAUCUGUUCUGGAUCCUGAGUUGCCUUUCCCAGUCUCUGUGUCUGAAAACCAUUCCCUGUUUGUUUCCUGAUGCUCAUCCCAAAUUGGAUCCCAAAUCCUGAUUUAUGGGAGCCUACAUGGAUGACUGCUGACCACACCCCUGUGUUCUCCUUGCCUGGCUUGAGCACCUAAAUUUAUCAGUGUGCUGGGUGUUGGGGAUAGGAUGCUGAACAAGUGACACAUCACCCCCACUCUCAGGACUGGAUGCUGGCUCCAGGCUGCUACCCUCUGGCCCGGGCUAGGCAGUGUUUUCCCUUUUCUCUUGGAACUGAUGAGCAUUGGCCAUGGCUCUCUAAUUCAGAUGCUAAAUCUUUUGCAUGUUUUUGCUUUGAUCUCAUGUCAGUCUCUACCCUUGACUUUGACAUUUGGAUUCAUGGUAACCUCCCUGAUGAACUGGCCCCCAACUACAAUCUCGGGCAUGGCAACUUCCUGCCACUAUGCUCACCAGCUUGGUCUACCUCCUAGUUCUCCUUCUUUCUGGCUCACUUCAUCUGAAGCAACCAUGGCCUAGAGCUGACCCAUCAUGAUAACAGGCCUUCAAUAAAUAUUUAUGAAGUUGAGUCAACUCAGGAGCAGUUCAGAAAUUCCAGGAACCUCUAAAAGAAUACAAAAGAGUUGGCUGUCAUAUCAUGAUAUGUUCCAAGUUGAAAAUAACUCUUUUCAUCUCUGUGCUUCUCCGUGCUCCAGAAAUUUAAAAGAAAGCAUAGAGUCUCAUGGUGGGUGAGUCAGGGAGGGCCAAGGGGGCAGUUCUCCAUAUAGGACUUGCAUAUCUAGGAAUAGUUUGCAGCCUCAAACCCAGCCCUUUGGGAAGCCUGGAUGGCCCUGGAUGUUGGAAGUGCUGGGAACAGGUCCUACCUGUUACUGGCUGAUCUGGUGUGUUCUUACCUCCAUAUCUCUGCGUGAUAGGCUCUGUCCACACAGAAAGCAGAAGCAGUGCCCAUCUGUGAAGUUCUUUGUUUCCCUUUAAUGCCUCUUUAUGUUUUUGCAUAGGCUGUUCACUCUGGGUUAGAAACCUCUCAGCCUUCAUGAGCUUUCUUCAUACCCACAUAAGGUAGGUGCAGGCAACUCACUUGGGGCACCAAAGCUAAAGCCUUGUGCAGCCAAUGAUGAGGCCUUCCCUGAGGGGCAGCCAAUGGCCAUUUUUCCUGCCAUCUGGCUCAAUUCAGCCACCAUGUCACUAACUGGAGCACACCCUGGUCCUGGUUUACAGUGAGCAUUAGCCAUGGCUCUCUAAUUCAGAUGCUAAGUCUUUUGUAUGUUUUUGCUUUGAUCUCAUGUCAGUCUCUACCCUUGACUUUGACAUUUGGAUUCAUAGUAACCUCCCACUUUUCCUGAAUUUUGUUUGCAUCUUGAUGAUUUCACCCCCAGAAUGAGAGAAAGAUUUUGCCUUUUGAAAGAGUGGUUGAGCCUAUAUAUCCUGAUGACACAGCCUGUAGGAUGGCCCCCAAUGCCCUCCACCUCCUGGUGUUCAUGGCCUUGUGUAAGGCCCUCCCCUUGAGCUAUACACGUAUUCUAACAAAUAGAAUACAGCAAAAGGGAUGGACACAAUUUCUGAGAUUAGGUUAUAAAAAGACUGUGGCUUCUGUAUCAGGUAUCCACUCCUUUCCUUUUCCCUUCCCUCCCCUUCCCUCCCUUUCCUUCCCCUUCCCUCUCCUCCCCUGCCCUCCUCUUCUUUCUCUUUCUCAGAUCAUUCGCACUGGGGCAAGCAAGCUGCCAUGUUGUGGGCAACUUUACAGAGAGGCCCACGUAGCGUGGUGAGAAACUGAGAUCCUCAGUGCAAUAGCCUGUGAGGACUGACACCUGCCAACUUACCAAAGAGUAAGCUCAGAAGUGGAUUUUUCAGCCCCAGUUGAGUCUUGAGAUGACGGAAGCCCGAGCCAACAGCUUGACUGCCAUGUUAUCAGAAACCCUGAGCCAGAAUCACUCAGUUUAACCACUCCUAGAUUCCUGACCCCCAGAACUGUGAGGCUGCUGCUAGCCCAUAAGGCAUCUUUGUGCCAGUUAUGAAACGGGACUCAUUCUUCAAGAUGCUUUUCUCCCUUUGGCUGGAAGAUUGUCAUAAAUCUCCAAUCUGUGAAGGGGGCCAUGCUGUAUUAGUCCAUUCUCAUGCUGAUAAUAAAGGCAUAUCUGAGACUGGGUAAUUUA